GGCAGUGAUACUGGAUUGCGUGGAGGAUUUUGUGUUUGCUGGUAAGAGUUUUGCUUUUGUAUGGCAUGCUUCGUUUCUGAAAUAGUUCAAAUCCCUAAUUUUUGUUCUUGUGUCUUGCAGAUCUGGUUCGGCCGAUUUUAGGACUGUAGAUCUCAAUGGGUACAUCAUCCAGUCCAGACAAAUUGAAUGCAGGUGAUUUUCCCUGUAUUUUGGAUGAUGUUUUAAUAGAUCUGGUUUUUAUGUUGUACAGUUGUUGUCUUAUCAACUUUAUAAGUUGUAUGUAUUUUGAUAUGUGUUAAUUUUGUCCUGGAUUGUAUGGCAUGUAUGGUUUUGGCAGUUGAUGCAACGUGCAGACAGGAGGUAGUACUUAUCACCA
rnacentral:lncRNA from 1 species